AUUGAACGCUGGCGGCAUGCUUUACACAUGCAAGUCGAACGGUAACAGGCCGCAAGGUGCUGACGAGUGGCGAACGGGUGAGUAAUGCAUCGGAACGUGCCCAGUCGUGGGGGAUAACUACUCGAAAGAGUAGCUAAUACCGCAUACGAUCUAUGGAUGAAAGCGGGGGACCGUAAGGCCACGCGCGAUUGGAGCGGCCGAUGUCAGAUUAGGUAGUUGGUGGGGUAAAGGCUCACCAAGCCAACGAUCUGUAGCUGGUCUGAGAGGACGACCAGCCACACUGGGACUGAGACACGGCCCAGACUCCUACGGGAGGCAGCAGUGGGGAAUUUUGGACAAUGGGCGCAAGCCUGAUCCAGCAAUGCCGCGUGCAGGAAGAAGGCCUUCGGGUUGUAAACUGCUUUUGUACGGAACGAAACGGCUCUGGUUAAUACCCGGGGCUAAUGACGGUACCGUAAGAAUAAGCACCGGCUAACUACGUG
rnacentral:rRNA from 1 species